AUGGAGGCGCACAGGCGGUGGGACACGUCGGGGAGCGGGUCGCGCUACAGCUUCAGGACGUCGGUGAGCAGCCUCGCGGACUUCGGCGGCGAGAUUGUGGAGGCGGAGGCGAGACGGGCCGCCGUGGACAGGGUGUUCGUGGCCGUCCCCGGAGAGGUCAAGCACGGGAGGAGCGCCCUGCAGUGGGCGCUGCAUAACCUGGCCAAGGACGGCGCGCAGGUCGUGGUGGCUCACGUCCACCGCCCCGCGCAGAUGAUCCCCAUGAUGGGAGCAAAAAUGCACUAUACCAGGCUGGAUCCAGAACAGGUCAAGGACUACAGAAAGCAGGAGCUAGAAAAGGCAUUGGAAAGGCUAGAAGAAUAUGUUGUGCUAUGCACAAUGCUAAAGGUCAGCUGUGAGAAGAUCAUAAUUGAGAAAGAUGAUGUUGCUAAAGGACUUGAGGAGCUUAUUGCCCUUCAUGGCAUCACCAAGCUUGUCAUGGGAGCAGCUGCAGACAAACAUUACUCAAAGAAAAUGAAAAGACCAAAGUCCAAGACAGCACUCGGACUAAUGGAAGCAGAAGCCUCACCAUGUAAGAUAUGGUUUACUUGUAAAGGACAACUGAUAUGUACCAGGGAAGCAAACACAACCAUUCCCAUGAUACCACCAUCACCUGCAUCGACAGUUGCAUCAACAUUAUCAGCAAGCAGCAUUUCCAGCCGCAUGAGAUCGAUUACGAUCCACCACUCAGAGAGUGAAGCACCAAGCUCAAAUGGAAGUCCACAGCAGAAUCUGAACAGAUCGAGAACAGAAGUGAUGCGGCAUCACUCUCGAGGAGCUGGUGGUACGCCACCUCAGCUAUUUGAACCUUUGGAACUCAAUGCGAAUGCCAGGCCAACAAGAACACCAUUGAGUUCUAUGGAUUCCUGGGAUGAAUUUGGGAGGAGAUCACAAAGCUCCUGGUACAAUCUAUCAAGGAACGAUGAUGCAAUCAGUGUCUCCGAAUCAGCAACACAUCAUCCAAUGCACGAGUCUGACGAUGACCACUUUUCAUCUCCUUUUCAUGAGCUCGAGAAUCCAGGUGCUGAUGCGGAAAUGUAUGGUAGACUUGAGGAGGCUCUCCGCGAAACUCAAGAAUCGAAGAAAGAGGUGUUCGAAGAAUCAACCAAGCGCCGAAAAGCCGAACUUGAUCUGCUUUCAGCUCUUCAAAAGGCCAAGGAGUUGGAGAAGUUGUAUCAUCACGAGAUAAGACAGAGAAAAACAAUCGAGGAGACACUCGUGAGACAGGCGCAGGAGCUCGAAGCAACGAAAAUUCAGUGUGACACGAUAUACGACCAACUACAUGAUGCAGAAGAACAGAAGGCCGUGUUGGAGCAGCGCAUGACCGAGAUGGAGUCUGCUCUUAGAGAUGGCGAGGAGAAGCUGGCCACAAGCAAGUGCCUUCUCGAAGCGCUCCAAGCAGACAAAGAGAAGCUGCAACAAGAGAGAGAUGCCGCGGCAACCGCGGCUGCAGAGUUGCGCCAGAAGAGCGAGCAGAGAAUUUCUAUGGCGACUGAAGCAUUGAACACCGAGUUCUCCGCCGUUGAGCUCGAGCAGGCAACUCGGAGCUUUGACGAAGUGCUCAAGAUCGGCGAGGGCGGGUUCGGGUGUGUCUACAAAGGCUCACUGCGCAGCACAACCGUGGCUAUAAAGCUGUUGCAUCCGAAAAGCUUGCAGGGCCAGUCAGAAUUCAACCAAGAGGUUGCUGUCCUCGGCAGAGUAAGGCACCCGAACCUCGUUGCGCUGAUCGGGUCGUGCCGGGAGGCGUUCGGCCUGGUGUACGAGUACCUCCCGAACGGCAGCCUCGAGGACCGGCUCGCGUGCGCGAACGACACGCCGCCGUUGACAUGGCAGGUGCGCACCAGGAUCAUCUACGAGAUGUGCUCGGCCCUGACGUUCCUGCACUCGAACAAGCCGCACCCGGUGGUCCACGGGGACCUGAAGCCGGCCAACAUCCUCCUGGACGCCAACCUGGUGAGCAAGCUGGGGGACUUCGGCAUCUGCCGCCUCCUGACGCAGUCCGGCACCUCCACCGCCGCCACCACGCUGUACCGGACGACCACCCCGAGGGGGACCUUCGCAUACAUGGACCCGGAGUUCCUGUCGUCCGGCGAGCUGACGCCACGCUCCGACGUCUACUCCUUGGGCAUCAUCAUCCUGCAGCUCCUGACGGGCAGGCGGCCCCAGAAGAUCGCCGAGGUGGUGGAGGACGCGGUGGAGAAGGGUGAGCUGCACACCGUCCUCGACCCCUCCGCGGGGGCCUGGCCGUUCGUGCAGGCCAACCAGCUCGCGCACCUCGGCCUGCGGUGCGCCGAGAUGAGCAGGAGGCGCCGCCCGGACCUCGCCCGGGAGGUGUGGACCGUGGUCGAGCCCCUGAUGAAGGCCGCCUCGCUGACCGCCCGGCGGCCGACGUUCGCUGCCUCGUCGGCUUUGCCGGACGAGGCUUCCACGCCGUCCUACUUCGUCUGCCCGAUCUUCCAGGAGAUGAUGAAUGAUCCGCACAUCGCGGCAGACGGGUUCACGUACGAAGCAGAGGCGAUCAGAGGGUGGCUGGACAGCGGGCACGACACGUCGCCGAUGACCAACCUGAAGCUCGCGCACCGCGAACUCACCCCGAACCGGGGGCUCCGCUCGGUGAUUCUCGAGUGGCAACAACAGCAUCGGCAGUACCAUGAGGACUGGAGAUGA
rnacentral:rRNA from 1 species